UCGAGGAUCUUCGGCAAUGGACGAAAGUCUGACCGAGCGACGCCGCGUGCGGGAUGAAGGCCCUCGGGUUGUAAACCGCUGUCGUAGGGGAACAAAUCUAUAAGGGUUCUCUCUUAUAGUCGAGUGAUCCUAGGAGGAAGGACGGGCUAAGUUCGUGCCAGCAGCCGCGGUAAGACGAACCGUCCGAACGUUAUUCGGUAUCACUGGGCUUAAAGAGUUCGUAGGCGGCCUAGUAGGUGAGAUGUGAAAUCCCACGGCUCAACCGUGGUACUGCGUUUCAAACCACUAGGCUUGAGGGAGAUAGAGGUGAGCGGAACAGAUGGUGGAGCGGUGAAAUGCGUUGAUAUCAUCUGGAACACCGGUGGCGAAAGCGGCUCACUGGAUCUCUUCUGACGCUGAGGAACGAAAGCUAGGGUAGCGAACGGGAUUAGAUACCCCCGUAGUCC
rnacentral:rRNA from 1 species